GAUGAACGCUGACAGAAUGCUUAACACAUGCAAGUCAACUUGAAUUUGGGUUUUUAACUUAGGUUUGGGUGGCGGACGGGUGAGUAACGCGUAAAGAACUUGCCUCACAGCUAGGGACAACAUUUGGAAACGAAUGCUAAUACCUAAUAUUAUGAUAAUAGGGCAUCCUAUAAUUAUGAAAGCUAUAAGCGCUGUGAGAGAGCUUUGCGUCCCAUUAGCUAGUUGGAGAGGUAACGGCUCACCAAGGCGAUGAUGGGUAGCCGGCCUGAGAGGGUGAUCGGCCACAAGGGGACUGAGACACGGCCCUUACUCCUACGGGAGGCAGCAGUGGGGAAUAUUGGACAAUGGACCAAGAGUCUGAUCCAGCAAUUCUGUGUGUACGAUGAAGUUUUUCGGAAUGUAAAGUGCUUUCAGUUGGGAAGAAAGAAAUGACGGUACCAACAGAAGAAGUGACGGCUAAAUACGUG
rnacentral:rRNA from 1 species